rnacentral:rRNA from 1 species
AGGAUCAUUAAAGAUUAUGAAUGAAUAGAUUGCUGGGGGAAUCGUCUGAACAAGGCCUGCGCUUAAUUGCGCGGCCAAUUCUUGAUUCUCUGCUAUCAGUUUUCUAUUUCUCAUCCUAAACACAAUGGAGUUUUUUCUCUAUGAACUACUUCCCUGGAGAGCUCGUCUCUCCAGUGGACAUAAACACAAACAAUAUUUUGUAUUAUGAAAAACUAUUAUACUAUAAAAUUUAAUAUUCAAAACUUUCAACAACGGAUCUCUUGGUUCUCGCAUCGAUGAAGAACGCAGCGAAUUGCGAUAUGUAUUGUGAAUUGCAGAUUUUCGUGAAUCAUCAAAUCUUUGAACGCACAUUGCGCCCUCUGGUAUUCCAGGGGGCAUGCCUGUUUGAGCGUCAUUUCUCUCUCAAACCUUUGGGUUUGGUAGUGAGUGAUACUCGUCUCGGGUUAACUUGAAAGUGGCUAGCCGUUGCCAUCUGCGUGAGCAGGGCUGCGUGUCAAGUCUAUGGACUCGACUCUUGCACAUCUACGUCUUAGGUUUGCGCCAAUUCGUGGUAAGCUUGGGUCAUAGAGACUCAUAGGUGUUAUAAAGACCCGCUGGUGUUUGUCUCCUUGAGGCAUACGGCUUUAACCAAAACUCUCAAAGUUUGACCUCAAAUCAGGUAGGGGUACCCGCUGAACUUAA